rnacentral:lncRNA from 1 species
GUUGACCGCGCGCCUCGCCCACUUGGGCCAGAUCAGCGCCAAGACCCAGCGUCGCCCUGUGCCGGCCUCCCCUCUACACCGACCGGGCCUUGGCCCAUGGUGAGCAGACCCCCAACGCCCCUCCUCCGUUCCUACUUGGGCUUGGCCCGAUUCUGCUACUGCUGAUGUCAUGCGCCUAGUAGAUUCGGCCCGAUAUGUUUUUUCGCUGUUCCAGUGAUUUUAGCAUAAUCCAGAGAUUUACUGUUUUACAAAAAAGUCCUUGCACAUCAUGCAUAUAAUAACUCAUUAACCGUGCAUCGGUUUAAAAUGUUUUAAACAUGUAAAAUGCUUAGAAUUUCAUCUAGUUUCAUAAUAUGCUGCUUUCAUCCAUGUUUAAAAUGUAUAAAUUGUUGUUUGCGUUAAUUUUCUUAAACGCCAUGCUAAAAUGCUUUAUUUCAUAGCUAAAUAACCGUAGAUCCAAAUUAAAUAAACUUUAUAUGUAAAUGGGGUAGAAAAAUGCCUAGUCUAACAUGGUGCACUUUAUUUUGCUGUUUAACAACAUUAAAAUUGUGUUUAUGGAAAAACAGUGCCAAAUCUAAAAUAUGCACAUGAGGAUUUUACGGAAUUGUUGUUUGUUGUUCCGGUCUCAUUUAAACUUGCCUAGAUAGGUAGUUUUCUUAUGCCUCACCUCUUGCCGUGUUAAUCAACAUUUAAUAUUGUUGGGUACAUAACCGAGAGAGAACUAAAUAAUCGUAUGUGGUGUUUCGUCAAUAUGCAACUUGUCACAUAUUGAGCUCCACUUAACUUGUAGUAUUGUUUGUUGCACUUUGCCAUGCCAUGCCUCUUUAAACCAGACAUGCAUCAUCCUUGGUUGUGCAUCAUCCCAUGUUUAUGUGAUGGUUGUUUACCAUGUUGUUUGUUUCUUUCCAGGUUGCUUCUCUCGUUAGCUUCGGUUUCGUUCCGGAGUUGUGAGGAUUCGUUCGACUAUGUCUGUUUGUCUUCUUCAUGGACUCGUUCUUCUUCCUUGCGGAAUUUCUCGCAAGGUGACCAUUACCCUCGAUAUCACUUCUAUCUUUGCUUGCUAGUUGUUCGCUCUAUCGCUAUGUCGCGCUACCUACCACUUGUUUAUCAUGCCUCCCAUAUAGCCAUGUCAAGCCUCUAACCCACCUUCCUAGCAAACCAUUGUUUGGCUAUGUUACCGCUUUGCUCAGCCCCUCUUAUAGCGUUGUUAGUUGCAGGUAAAGUUGAAGAUUGCUCCAUGUUGGAACAUGUUUAUGUUGGGAUAUCACAAUAUCUCUUAUUUUAAUUAAUGCAUCUAUAUACUUGGUAAAGGGUGGAAGGCUCGGCCUUAUGCCUGGUGUUUUGUUCCACUCUUGCCACCCUAGUUUCCGUCAUACCGGUGUUAUGUUCCUCGAUUUUGCGUUCCUUAUGCGGUUGAGGAAUUAUGGGACCCCCUUGACAGUUUGCUUUGAAUAAAACUCCUCCAGCAAGGCCCAACCUUGGUUUUAACAUUUGCCACCUAAGCCUUUUUCCCUUGGGUUCUGCAGACUCAAGGGUCAUCUUUAUUUUAAACCCCCCCGGGCCAGUGCUCCUUUGAGUGUUGGUCCGAAACGGGCAGCCUGCGGGGCCACCUCGGGGCAACUUGAGGGAUGGUUUUACUCGUAGCUUGACCUAUCCGGUGUGCCCUGAGAAUGAGAUACAUGCGACGCCUAUUGGGAUUUGUCGGCACAUCGGGCUGCUUUGCUGGUCUUGUUUUACCAUUGUCGAAAUGUCUUGUAACCGGGAUUCCGAGCCUGAUCGGGUCUUCCCGGGAGAAGGAAUAUCUUUUAUUGAUCGUGAGAGCUUGUGAUGGGCUAAGUUGGGACACCCCAGCAGGGUAUAAACUUUCGAAAGCCAUGCCCGCGGUUAUGUGGCAGAUGGGAAUUUGUUAAUGUCCGGUUGUAGAGAACUGGGCACUUGACUUAAUUGAAAUGCAUCAACCGCGUGUGUAACCGUGAUGGUCUCUUUUCGGCGGAGUCCGGGAAGUGAACGCGGUUGUGGGUUAUGUAUGAACAUAAGUAGUUUCAGGAUCACUUCUUGAUCACUUCUAGCUUCUUGAUCGUGGCAUUGCUUCUCUUCUCGCUCUUAUUUGCGUAUGUUAGCCACCAUAUAUGCUUAGUGCUUGCUGCAGCUCCACCCCAUUACACCUUUCCUACCCAUAAGCUUAAAUAGUCUUGAUCUUGCGGGUUUUGAGAUUGCUGAGUCCUCGUGACUUACAGAUACUACCAAAACAGUUGCAUGUGCCGGUGAUACCAGUGCAGGUGAUGCUACCGAACUCAAGUGGUAGUUCGACGUGGACCUUGGUCGUUACUACGUUUCGUUUCCUGAUGAUCAGUAGUGGGGCCCAGUUGGGACGAUCGGGCAUCUAGCAUUUGGGGCUGUCUUCUUUUAUUUUGGUUCUGUAGUCGGACCUUGAUUGUACUCUGAAUGAUGUAUGUUCAAUUAAUGUAUUGUGUGAAGUGGCGAUUGUAAGCCAACUCUUUAUCCCAUUCUUGUUCAUUACAUGGGAUUGUGUGAAGAUGACCCUUCUUGCGACAAAACCACCAUGCGUUAUGCCUCUAAGUCGUGCCUCGACACGUGGGAGAUAUAGCCGCAUGGUGGGUGUUACAUUGGUGCCUCUCCGAUGAUGUGUGAGUAGUUCAUUGUAGACCUAUGGGUCCGUAGUUAGUAGCUAGAUGGCUUCCUCUCUCUAUUUUGAUUCUCAAUACAAUGAUCCCUUGGAGAUCUAUUUGAUGUAACUCCUUUUGCGGUGUGUUUGUUGGGAUCCGAUGAACUCUGAGUGUAUGAUUAGAUCUAUUUUAUCCAUGAAAGUUAUUCGAGUUUUGAUCUCUUAUAUGCAUGAUUGCUUAUAGCCUUGUAUUUCUUCUUCAAAUCUUUGGUUUAGUUAGGCCGACUAGAUGGAUUUUUCUUGCAAUGGGAAGAGGUGCUUUGUGAUGGGUUCGAUCUUACGGUGCUCAAUCUCAGUGACAGAAGGGGACAUGACACGUAUGUAUCGUUGCUAUUAAGGAUAACAAGAUUGGGUCUAUUCCUACAUGAAUAGAUCUUGUCUACAUCAUGUCAUUGUUCUUAUUGCAUUACUCUGUUUUUCCGUGAAGUUAAUACACUAGAUGCAUGCUGGAUAGCGGUCGAUGUGUGGAGUAAUAGUAGUAGAUACAGGUAGGAGUCGGUCUACUAAUCUUGGACGUGAUACCUAUAUAAUGAUUAUUGCCUGGAUAUCAUCAUAAUUAUUUGAAGUUGUAUAAAUCGUGCAACAGAAAUUUGUUUACCAGAUGUAUGCUAUUUUUCUCAAGAGAAG